GUGGGGAAUCUUGCGCAAUGGGCGAAAGCCUGACGCAGCCAUGCCGCGUGAAUGAUGAAGGUCUUAGGAUUGUAAAAUUCUUUCACCGGGGACGAUAAUGACGGUACCCGGAGAAGAAGCCCCGGCUAACUUCAUGCCAGCAGCCGCGGUAAUACGAAGGGGGCUAGCGUUGCUCGGAAUUACUGGGCGUAAAGGGCGCGUAGGCGGACAGUUUAGUCAGAGGUGAAAGCCCAGGGCUCAACCUUGGAAUUGCCUUUGAUACUGACUGUCUUGAGUACGGGAGAGGUGAGUGGAACUCCGAGUGUAGAGGUGAAAUUCGUAGAUAUUCGGAAGAACACCAGUGGCGAAGGCGACUCACUGGCCCGUUACUGACGCUGAGGCGCGAAAGCGUGGGGAGCAAACAGGAUUAGAAACCCGGGUAGUCC
rnacentral:rRNA from 1 species